UGGUGGAGUGAUUUGUCUGGUUAAUUCCGUUAACGAACGAGACCUCGACCUGCUAACUAGUGUCGUGAUCUUCACGGAUCAUUGAUGCUUCUUAGAGGGACUUUGAGUAUCGAAACUCAAGGAAGUUCGAGGCAAUAACA
rnacentral:rRNA from 1 species